rnacentral:rRNA from 1 species
AUUCCAGCUCCAAUAGCGUAUAUUAAAGUUGUUGCAGUUAAAAAGCUCGUAGUCGGAUUUUGGCAUCACGCCGAACUGUCUGCCGAUUGGUAAGUACGGUUUGGCGGGUGCUUCCUUCCGGAGGCUCGUUCCCUUCUUCAUUGAAGGGUUCGUUGGUUCCGGGUCUUUUACUUUGAGAAAAUUAGAGUGUUCAAAGCAGGCCUAUGCUCUGAAUAGGUUAGCAUGGAAUAAUAGAAUAGGACUUUGGUUCUAUUUUGUUGGUUUCUAGGACCGAAGUAAUGAUUAAUAGGGAUAGUUGGGGGCAUUCGUAUUCAAUUGCCAGAGGUGAAAUUCUUGGAUUUAUAGAAGACGAACUACUGCGAAAGCAUUUACCAAGGAUGUUUUCAUUA